AUUGAACGCUGGCGGCAGGCCUAACACAUGCAAGUCGAGCGGAUGAAGGGAGCUUGCUCCUGGAUUCAGCGGCGGACGGGUGAGUAAUGCCUAGGAAUCUGCCUGGUAGUGGGGGCUAACGUCCGGAAACGGGCGCUAAUACCGCAUACGUCCUGAGGGAGAAAGUGGGGGAUCUUCGGACCUCACGCUAUCAGAUGAGCCUAGGUCGGAUUAGCUAGUUGGUGGGGUAAAGGCCUACCAAGGCGACGAUCCGUAACUGGUCUGAGAGGAUGAUCAGUCACACUGGAACUGAGACACGGUCCAGACUCCUACGGGAGGCAGCAGUGGGGAAUAUUGGACAAUGGGCGAAAGCCUGAUCCAGCCAUGCCGCGUGUGUGAAGAAGGUCUUCGGAUUGUAAAGCACUUUAAGUUGGGAGGAAGGGCAGUAAGUUAAUACCUUGCUGUUUUGACGUUACAAACAGAAUAAGCACCGGCUAACUUCGUA
rnacentral:rRNA from 1 species